UGCUCUCCCGUGUUCACAUUGGAUCUGGUCUCUUCUUGGUUGUUGUCGGUGUUUCGUUACCGGCAAUGUCGUCGAGGGAUGGCCAAUUUGUUCGAAGGAGGGGGCGGGGGGCAUGUCAGGAUGGCAAACCACGGGACAUGGAUGUGAUUUAAUAUAAGCUUAUUCUUUGAUUUUCCACCGAGAUUCCUCACGCUGUGCACAGAUGAAGGAUGUUGGGCCAUUUAGAUGCCUUCUUCAGCGCGCCGUCAUCCUCUCCUCCUCUAGCCAACAUCAAUGGCAUUUCGGCGUUGAGGAGAAAGUAUCGUGUCACAUAUAUGCUGCUUGAUUCCCUGGAUUCUGGAUCUCCUUGGGAAAAAGUAGGUGAAUGAUUUUCAAAGGCUGUAGCUAAUGGAGACUGUAGCACGCUGGUAUAGUGUCAGGUCAUGACGAUCAUGAGUGUGUUGCAUGCCUGGGGCCUGGCUCGUUGCGUGCAGUGACCCAGUGGCCGACGUGGGUGAGGACCUGUAGACCGGGCACAACGGUGAGGAUGAACGAGAACGUGCUGACGCCUGUGCGCGCCACCACGCCCACCGCCAACUCCAGCUGCGGGCUUCAGCAGCACAUCAUCCCGCUGCUUGAGGUCAGAAUUCUCGUCUGCGGUGGCGAGGCAGAGACGGCGCUCGAGGGUAGGGGCUUGGACGCCGAGGCCGAGCGAGGGGAUGGCGAGGAGCUUGGAGACGAGUUGGUUGACGUGCUGGCCUGGGAGCUCUGGUCGGCGGCGUCAAACGCGCUGAUGUCGCCGAUGGGGAUGGACGGUGGGCCUGGUCAUACGGCCGAUUACGUUAUUACAGUUCAUUAGAGUAACCAAACAAAUUCUGUUUUUUCUCCAUUCCCUUUAUAGUAACUGUAUAACUCGAUUGUGUUUGCGUUUGCGUUAAGUUCCUUGCACCGAACACCUCCUAGGUGUAUACACGAGCAGCAAUUACGAAAACAGUAGAUGAUGUGCAAUUAGCAGUUUAUUAUGCCUUAAAAGACAACAUAUUUGUGUUCCAUGAUACAAGUAUUUGUUUGUGCUUCUUCCAUA